AAACUAACUAGGAUUCCCUUAGUAACGGCGAGUGAACCGGGAUGAGCUCAAAUUUGAAAUCUGGCGUCUUUCAGGCGUCCGAGUUGUAAUCUAUAGAGGCGUUUUCCGCGCCGGACCGCGUCCAAGUCUCUUGGAAUAGAGUAUCAAAGAGGGUGACAAUCCCGUACUUGACGCGACAACCGGUGCUCUGUGAUACGUUCUCAACGAGUCGAGUUGUUUGGGAAUGCAGCUCUAAAUGGGUGGUAAAUUCCAUCUAAGGCUAAAUAUUGGCGAGAGACCGAUAGCGAACAAGUACCGUGAGGGAAAGAUGAAAAGCACUUUGGAAAGAGAGUUAAACAGCACGUGAAAUUGUUAAAAGGGAAACGAUUGAAGUCAGUCGUGUGAAAGGUAUUCAGCCGUCUCUGGCGGUGUAUUUGCCUUUCACGGGUCAACAUCAGUUUAGUCCGGUAGAAAAAGGCUGGAGGAAGGUGGCACCCUCGGGUGUGUUAUAGCCUCCUGUCACAUGUGCCGGAUUAGACUGAGGAACGCAGCUUGCCGCAAGGCCGGGGUUCGCCCACGUACAAGCUUAGGAUGUUGACA
rnacentral:rRNA from 1 species